AAACCGUGGUGUGGACACUUUCUCAAUAACUCCUUGUAUCUUUCCUAUGCCUCAUAUAAGGAUUCACUAUCGCUCUGAAUGAAGGAUGUUAUAUCAUCCCUCAUCUU